UAGGGUAUAGAAAAUGAACACAAAUAUGGAGUUAUCAUUGAGUAAGUUGGAUAUAGAACUUGAAGAUUGGGUGAGGGUGGAUUGUUCUACCUCCUUAGGGAUACGAUCCUAUACAAUAUUUUCUUACCUGGUUAAGUCUGAUGGGAAACUCUUAUUGGCACUUUAUCAUCACGAUCGUGGCUAAGGUUAUUGGCAUAUUUACCAGCUUGAUUCAUCACGAAAAGAUUGGACUAGAGUUAAAACUUUCGGAAAGAGAGUACUGUUUUUGAGGCAUAUCGUCGUCAAUUACCAGUCUAGCAAUCGGGGUGGCGAGUGAAUUUGCACACAUGAUAUUUUGGUGCAACUAUGAUGGUUG
rnacentral:lncRNA from 1 species